rnacentral:rRNA from 1 species
CCUACGGGAGGCAGCAGUGGGGAAUAUUGCACAAUGGGGGAAACCCUGAUGCAGCGACGCCGCGUGAGUGAAGAAGUAAUUCGUUAUGUAAAGCUCUAUCAGCAGGGAAGAAAAUGACGGUACCUGCGUAAGAAUCCCCGGCUACCUACGUGCCAGCAGCCGCGGCAAUACGUAGGGGGCAAGCGUUAUCCGGAUUUACUGGGUGUAAAGGGAGCGUAGACGGCAGUGCAAGUCAGGAGUGAAAGGCGGGGGCUCAACCCCCGGACUGCACUGGAAACUGUACGGCUGGAGUGCCGGAGAGGUAGGUGGAAUUCCUAGUGUAGCGGUGAAAUGCGUAGAUAUUAGGAGGAACACCAGUGGCGAAGGCGGCUUACUGGACUGUAACUGACGUUGAGGCGCGAAAGCGUGGGGAGCAAACAGGAUUAGAUACCCUGGUAGUC